UACGAGGGGUGCUAACGUUAUUCGGAUUUAUUGGGCGUAAAGGGUGCGUAGGUGGCAAUGUAAGUCUGUCGUUAAGUUUUCCGGCCUAACUGGAAGCAUGCGAUAAAUACUGCUUUGCUAGAGGGUGGAAGAGAGAAGUGGAAUUCUUGGAGUAGCGGUAAAAUGCGUAGAUCUCAAGAGGAACACCAAUGGCGAAGGCAGCUUCUUGGGCCAAUCCUGACACUGAGGCACGAAAGCGUGGGGAGCAAACAGG
rnacentral:rRNA from 1 species